GACGAACGCUGGCGGCGUGCUUAACACAUGCAAGUCGAACGGAAAGGCCCUGCUUUUGUGGGGUGCUCGAGUGACGAACGGGUGAGUAACACGUGAGUAACCUGCCCUUGACUUUGGGAUAACUUCAGGAAACUGGGGCUAAUACCGGAUAGGAGCUCCUGCUGCAUGGUGGGGGUUGGAAAGUUUCGGCGGUUGGGGAUGGACUCGCGGCUUAUCAGCUUGUUGGUGGGGUAGUGGCUUACCAAGGCCUUGACGGGUAGCCGGCCUGAGAGGGUGACCGGCCACAUUGGGACUGAGAUACGGCCCAGACUCCUACGGGAGGCAGCAGUGGGGAAUAUUGCACAAUGGGCGGAAGCCUGAUGCAGCAACGCCGCGUGCGGGAUGACGGCCUUCGGGUUGUAAACCGAUUUCGCCUGUGACGAAGCGUGAGUGACGGUAAUGGGUAAAGAAGCACCGGCUAACUACGUG
rnacentral:rRNA from 1 species